UUCGCCCUUAGAGUUUGAUCCUGGCUCAGGAUGAACGCUGGCGGCGUGCCUAACACAUGCAAGUCGAGCGAUUCUCUUCGGAGAAGAGCGGCGGACGGGUGAGUAACGCGUGGGUAACCUGCCCUGUACAGGGGGAUAACAGCUGGAAACGGCUGCUAAUACCGCAUAAGCGCACGAGGAGACAUCUCCUUGUGUGAAAAACUCCGGUGGUACAGGAUGGCCUCGCGUCCGAUUAGCUAGUUGGUGAGGUAAUGGCCCACCAAGGCAACGAUCGGUAGCCGGACUGAGAGGUUGAACGGCCACAUUGGGACUGAGACACGGCCCAGACUCCUACGGGAGGCAGCAGUGGGGAAUAUUGCACAAUGGGGGAAACCCUGAUGCAGCGACGCCGCGUGGAGGAAGAAGGUCUUCGGAUUGUAAACUCCUGUUGUUGAGGAAGAUAAUGACGGUACUCAACAAGGAAGUGACGGCUAACUACGUGCCAGCAGCCGCGGUAAAACGUAGGUCACAAGCGUUGUCCGGAAUUACUGGGUGUAAAGGGAGCGCAGGCGGGAAGACAAGUUGGAAGUGAAAUCUAUGGGCUCAACCCAUAAACUGCUUUCAAAACUGUUUUUCUUGAGUAGUGCAGAGGUAGGCGGAAUUCCCGGUGUAGCGGUGGAAUGCGUAGAUAUCGGGAGGAACACCAGUGGCGAAGGCGGCCUACUGGGCACCAACUGACGCUGAGGCUCGAAAGUGUGGGUAGCAAACAGGAUUAGAUACCCUGGUAGUCCACACCGUAAACGAUGAUUACUAGGUGUUGGAGGAUUGACCCCUUCAGUGCCGCAAGUUUACACUUUAAGUAAUCCCACCGGGGGGAGGUACGACCGCAAGGUUGAAACUCAAUGGAAUUGACGGGGGCCCGCACAAGCAGCGGAGUACGUGGUUUUAAUUCGACGCAACGCGAAGAACCUUACCAAGUCUUGACAUCCUGCGACGAUGCUGGAAACAGUAUUUUCCUUCGGGACGCAGAGACAGGUGGUGCAUGGUUGUCGUCAGCUCGUGUCGUGAGAUGUUGGGUUAAGUCCCGCAACGAGCGCAACCCUUACUGUCAGUUACUACGCAAGAGGACUCUGGCAGGACUGCCGUUGACAAAACGGAGGAAGGUGGGGAUGACGUCAAAUCAUCAUGCCCUUUAUGACUUGGGCUACACACGUACUACAAUGGCGUUAAACAAAGAGAAGCAAGACCGCGAGGUGGAGCAAAACUCAGAAACAACGUCCCAGUUCGGACUGCAGGCUGCAACUCGCCUGCACGAAGUCGGAAUUGCUAGUAAUCGUGGAUCAGCAUGCCACGGUGAAUACGUUCCCGGGCCUUGCACACACCGCCCGUCA
rnacentral:rRNA from 1 species